ACCACUUCCCUAAGCCUCUUUUACAUGUAAGAUAAAGACAAAACAAUACCUAGUUGCAGGGUUGCUGUGAGGAUUAAAUGAGCUGUUGCUCAGCUCAUUCAGUGGUUGAAAGGACUUGCAUGUGUUCCAAUGCAGAGCAGAGCAGAGGCCCUAGCUGCCUCUCUCCCAACUGUAGGAAUGUCUGCUGCUUCCCUCUCUUGUGGUCCCAGAACACAGUUUCAAGUGUAUAGGCUGCUCCCAGAGGGGCCCGAGGUGAUGGUGCCUCUGGUCCUUGGGGGCAAGAACUCCUUCAAAGGACAAGUCUAAUGUGGUUGGAGGACAUUGGUCAGGCCCAGACUGGGCUCCACUCCACCCCAGGAGGCCUAGCCAGUGGGACAAGCCAGGGCUUCAGGCCAUGCUUUCCCCUCCUCCCUCCUGAUGACCAAUUCCAAACCUGCCCCAGCCCAGUGCCACAAGCAUGUUUUCCCUGGGGCUUCCAGCUGGAGGCCAGUCAUGGGGUCUGAUGGAAACCCCAUGGGCUAGGGGAGAUGCAAACCACCCCUCCUCCUCCUGGGAGGCACCAGCACAGUGGAAGAGCCAUGUCACAGAGUCCCCACUGUGUCACUCUGUCCCCAGGUGCCACUCGCCUGGUUCCCGAUGUCCUCUGAACAAUGAGGGAGGUGAACUCUGGAACCUCUCAGGCAACCCCUGGCCCUGACACCAUGUGAUUUAGUUGAGCAGAGAAGAGGAAUCCUGUGAGAGGUGCUCAUGUGAUAGCGAAUCUGUAGAUACAGGAGUAAAAGCUGACAGUAUGGAGUGCAAGGUAUAAAUCAGGAAAGGCUGAUUUAGGGUGAGAGAAAAAGACCUGGGUCAGAAGCGAUUAGGUCCAUGCUCUGCAGCCCUAAGUCUCCCCAGGUUGUCAUCUGCUCUGAGGCAACACUACCCAGGGCAGGUUUUGAAUGAUAUUAUCAUAAUGACAGUGUUACCAGGGGACUCAGAAAUACGGAGACCCAUAAGCACAUCCUCCAAAUGCACAGUGACUCACACAUCUGCAGGCCCGUAAUGCAAGGGGGACCUUUGAAGAGUCAUAGCUAAUAUUGCUUAGCCCUUACUAUGUGCCAAGCACUGUUCAUACUUUUUCACAUACAUUAACCCAUGUAUUUCUUCCGACAAGUCUAUUAAGUCAAUACUGUCAGACUCCCAUUUUAUAGAUGGUGAAACAAGGCAAAAAAGAGCUUAAGUUCCUGGACAUAAACCCUGGAGGUGUUCCAGAACUUGCAUUCAUUAUGUGCUUUAGCUUGAAGGCCAUAGGUGUCCCUGCUGGGCACUCACCAUCUGGAAUCAUCUCCCACUGUAGCCACCCAGCCUGGCUGCCAGGUUGGUCACCAUUGAGCACCACGUGACGGUACGGCCCAAGCACCACCAUUAUGAUGAACCCACUCGUGUGUUUAAGUCGAUCUCUCCAUCACAGAGAAAGUAAGAGCCCAACAAUGAAAUCCUCUCUCCUCUGUUGCACAGUGGAACAUAAACCCAUUUCAGUGCCCACGAAAUGACAAUGGCCACACACGGCCUGCUUGCAUGUCUGAGGCAGUUCCUUCCUGCAGCCUGGGUCCCCUGCCUGGAGACUGGCAGGCUCCUCCAGCCGCCUCAGGGCACUGACAUCCAUCCUAUGCUCCAGAAGAGAACAUACCCAGAAGCGACCCAAUGGAGCCACUCUGCCUCCCUGCACAGACGCCAGCAGAGACUUAGUGACUACCCUGGGUGGGGGUGUGCGCCAGGCGGAGAUGGAGAGAAUAAAUGAAGGGAAGAGAACAGUCUGCCUGGGUCUGCCUUGCCUGGAGUCUGACAAACCUCAUGUGGCCCUGCAGAGCCCCUGAGCUGGGCCCUCCGCACACCCAGGAGGGGUUCCCACUGGGAGUUGGGUGGGGCUGCUCAGGGCACCCAGGGCUGUCUGGAAAGCAGCGUGUCCCUGGGUUAGCUCCCUCACUCUCACCCUGGGCCCAGGGACAGGUGGCAUGAUUUCUUUUCCACAAGCCUCUCCACACUUUUCCCUCCCAUCCUUUGGGCUCUUCAGGCCUCAGUUGUGCUCCUGUCUGCUGUGAGAACACCAAACUUGCUUUCCUGUUGCAGCAAGAACUGCUUCCCGACGAGGAGCACACCAGUCCCCAGCCCUCUCAGAGAAUCAGGAUACGGGAGGGAGUGAGAACAUGGCAGAACAGAGAGUCACAGAACAGCCUCCGGCCAAGCCCAGAAGGCUGAGCCUGCCCCGCUCGAAGCCCUGUCCAUCUGAAAGGCCCAGGAGUCUCCUGAUGACUGAGGUUAGGCCAGCCCAGCCCACCAGGUGAGCCUCCCUUCUUCCCCACAGGACACGCACCCUAGUCUGCUGCUGCUGUGCUGGCGGGGGGACCCCAGCCUACGGCAGGAACCGAGCUCCUCCCCCUAGGGCCUGGGUCAGCCUGCAGGACUCCCCACGCAGCGACCCCAGGUGCUGCUUGCUCUCCUGGCCAGGCUGUUCCUGGCGGGCUGGGCAUACACAGAGUGGAUAGUGAGUCUGGGACCAGGUUCCUGGGGUCAGCUGAUGCCACUCUAGGGAAGUGGGGGUAGCCCUCCCCUCCCCUGAUGAGGAUUUGAAGACCUCGGCGGUGGGAGGAAAGAAGGGGAGAUCAUUCACAGUGACUCAGCCAAUGAUUCUCCAGAGAACGAUUGCCACCUGAUACCCAGCUAGGGACAGGGUCCCGCUCGCUCUGGUGGCUGUAGGGGAGAAUCCUACUUGCCUCUUCCAGCCUCCGUGCCUUUGGGUUUCCUUGGCUUAUGGCAGCUUAACUCCAGUCUCUGCCUCUGUCUUCCCAGGCCCUUGUCCCCUAUGUCUCUGUGUCCUGUAUCUCCUUCUCUUUCCCUUUCUGUCAUAGGAACACCAGUUACUGGAUUUGGGGCCCAUCCUCAACCCAAAAUGAUCUCAUCUUGUGAUGAGCUGUAAUCUGAUUUUAAGAUUUUAAGAUGAAAUCUUAAUUCUUAAUUAUAUUUGGCCUUAUUUUCAAAUAAGGCCACAUUCACAGGGACCGGUGUUAGGACUUGGACUUACCUUUUUGGGGGACACCUUGCAACCCACUAUAUUCAGUUGCUUCCUCUAUAAAAGGCAGACGAGAGUAGCAGCUGCCUCACGAUACUGUGGGUUAGUACGUGCACAGACUUGGAGCAGCACCUGGCAUGUGGUAUGUGCUCAGUAAAUGUUAGCUGGUUUUGUCAUUCCUCAUCCUUCAAACAUGUCACUCAAUGAAACCUGCUCUGAGCUGUGCCCCAGACCCAAACAGAGCCAUUGCCCACACAGCUGCUUCACUCGCUUUUGUAGACCCUUCCAGCUUUAUUCCAGGGCUUUGAUCAAGAGGGAUGGAGGCUGGUUUCCUCUGUCAGCUCAUUCGCUCCUCUGGAUAAAAAGCUGGAUCUUAUUCAUCUCUUUCUAAAAAAAUAACCACUUUUGAGUCCUACAAAAAUAUCUUGAUCACGAGCAAUAAUACGUGCAUAGAGACAUCACAGAGCAAGCAUAUGUCAUCAUCAUAUGCCCAAAUGUUUCCCAGUUUUCUCUUGACCAUUUGACUGGUCCCUUCCACCUUUGUCUCCCAGCAUUAGUACCGACCUUGCCAUCUGGGGGUGCGGAACAGCUAUCUGUUGAUAAACUGAAGGAGGAGGACAGCCUAAAGGUCAGAGCAGAAAUUAAGGAGAGGCUGAAUGUACUGCCCCAGGCCCCCUCACACUGGGGACAGGGUGGGCCUGCGGAAUGACGGGGGAGUGGAAGGAAGGCACUGGGGCUCGGGGCCACAGGAGGUGCAAGCGAGUGUCAGCGGCUGAGUGUGAGGGAGCGUAGGGAUCCACGACAUCCGGGAGACCCAACCAGACGGAGGAGACCUGCUGGCUUGGCUGUGUAAAAGGAACACCAGUUACCUUUGUUUUUGUGGACUGUUUAUGAUUUAUGACUAAUUACCAUGUAAAAUAAUAGCAGUUACAUAAUUAUCUGGCAGAUUAAUUUAUUAUAAGCUUCAUUUAAUUAUACUGCUUAACUCUGUUUGCUAUAUCUCUACUACCCCCCAAACAAAAACAAAACAAAACAAAAUUUGAAGGCCCAUUGCUCCCCUCCACUUUCACAAUUGGAGAAGGCUGGUAGGACCUGGCCCAGCCUCCAGUGGAAGCCUGCUGCCUGGACAGAGUGGCCCUGGUGACUGCUGCUAAGAAGUGUCUUGUAUGGAGCCUUUGCUGUCCUGGUGCUGAGCCCCUUCGAAAUGCCAUUGUGCUCCUGGGUUCCAGCCAGAGAGCCAAGCUGGGAGGAGGCGGAAGCCACAGAGAGAAGCCAGGCAAGCUGCGACCCUGACACUUCCAGGAGCUGGAGAAGACCCCUGUGGGACCCCCAUGACUUAUGCGGGUCCAGCCAGCCCUUUCAGCCCCGUUCCUGCUGUGGGGGUCCUUUCUCUCCCCUAGACUCUUUCUAGCUUCUCAUGCUGCAGAACAGUCUCUUCCACCUCUCUGCUCAGUAAGCUUCAACCCCAACUGGUUUGAAGAAGCCCCUUGGGAGGCCUGGAGAUCCUGACCGCCUCCCCUCUCCCCUGCCCUGUGCCCCAGCCACCACACUAAGGCCCUGACAAGCCCAUCUGCCCUCAGCCCCUUCCACGCACACUGUCAGGCCUGGUCUCACCUGCUCUUCCAGCGGCCCUGGGAAGCAGGUGCCGUCAUUUUCAUCACUGUUCACAGAUGAGGACCACGGGGCUCUGACACCCAGCUGGUGAGGUCAGAGAUGGUUUGAAACCAGGCCAGAUCCUGUGCUGGGUGCUAAGGAUGGACCCACAGACAAGGCGGAAAUGGACAAGCCCCAUGUGGAGCUUAUACCCAGGACCACCUCACACCCAGUGGUUUACAAUGGAAAUUUUCAUGAUACACAAAAGUGGAGAGAACAGCAGAAUGAACUCCCCUGGACCAUCACCCAGUGGCAGCACCCAAUCAUCAGCUGAGUGAUUUGUACAUUGUUCUUAUCUGAUUCUCUGCUGAGAAAGUUAUGAAAUAUGUACUUACGGUUUCUUCCCUGUCCCUUUCUCCCAUUCAAGCAGAUGCUAGGAGAACUAGCAAUACCUAGGAGAACUUAAAGAGCUUGCAAAGGAGGGAAAAGAGGGGAAGGAGUCUGCAUUUAUUUUCUAGGGCUGCAAACAAUACCCUGACCUGAGCGGCUUACAUAAUAGAACCUUAUUGUCUCCCAGGCCUGGAGGCUGGAAGCCUGAGAGUAAGGUCUGAGCAGUCCUGGCUCUUUCUGAGGGACUGUGAGGGAACUGUCGGCUCUAGGCCUCUCUCCCUGGCUAAGUCCUCUUCUCCAAGUUUCUUCACAUCUUCUUCCCGCUAUGCCUGUCUGUGUCCAGAUUUUCUCCUCUUACAAGGACACCAGUCACAUUGGAUUAGGACUCACUCCAAUGACCUCAUUUAAACUGGCUUAUCUCUGUAAGGGCCCUAUCUCCAAAUCAGGUCACAUUCUGAGGUGUUGGGGGUUUGGACGUCAACAUAUCUUUUUGGGGAGACACAAUUCAACCCAUAGUGGGGACUCACUGGCAUAGAUUGAAUGAAAAUCUUCAAGAAACACAGAAGGAAAUUUGCUUCAGGCUAUUUUCCCAGGAGGAAGGGUGGGCUAGAAAGAGGGUCUACGGGAUAAGGAAAAGAAAGGCAGAGGGGACAUUGGUCAGCUUCCAAAAGGUACCCGUGUCCUGGGGGUGGCACAGAAUCAUCAGGGACACCUGGAUGCACAGGGGCCACUGGACAUAGAUGGGGCUUGUUAGAGCACCCCAUGUCCAGAAGCAAGGCACCACCUCAGAGCCAAGAAUAUGUGGGAUGCAUAUUUCAUCCAGCUUUUGGGAAUAGGUCCUAGGAGUCAGAAAUUAAUUUAGAAACUUAGCAAAUGGAGGACUUGAUGUUUUCUACACCUCCUGAGUCUGUCAGUUGAGAAGUCUAUCUGCCAAAUAUACAACAGAUAAAAGCAGGGGUGUUCUAGGUGGAGCUCACCCUAAUAUUGGCUCCCUUUGCAGUAUCCCAAGGCAAUCCGAGGAGGCUCAGAGUGCCAGGAAACUCAGCUGGAAAACUUAGGGUUCACCCCUCCCUGCUUAUUGAACACACAGGACACAGAGGCUCAGAAGGGAAAAGACCUGCUUUGUGGGCUUGCAAAAGGCAGGUCAGCAGCAGUCAAGAACCCAGGGUUCCUGAUUUCUGCAGGACUCUUUCCUGGCGGCUUCCUCAAAGAUUUCUCAGGGGUGCUGGCACUGUCUUUUUGGUCCAUAUCCAGGUCCCUGGAGGCAUGUCCCUGCACUGCAGACAGCUGAGUCCCUGAGCCAUCCUGGAGUGGGCCUGGAAUCACCUCUCGGGACCUUGUCAAGUUCCUGUUGUUUUGUUUGAGCAGUUCUAAUAGAUGUGCAGUGUGCAGCAUCCUGUGCUGUUUUGACACGUCCCCACUCAUCUCCCAGGGCAUCUUUGCUUUCCAGUCCAAUGAGAUGUUCUAGAAUCACCUUGUCCUUUCUUAACCCCAGGAAAAUUAUCCCUGGAAUAAGCCGUCCUGGUUUGAAGUCGAGUUUUAUUUUACUAGGACUUGGGAUAUUAUGACAUAUUAGGGGGAAAGCAUUAUUAAAACGUACUUCUAUGAUGUCGAUUUGAUUAUUCUAUAGUCAACCAUUCCCCACAUAUUGAGAUAAUUCCCACAUGCAGAAAUGGCUGAGACCUUCCUCUUUGAACCUGUCUCCAGCAUCUUUUAGUACAUUCCUUUCUGCUUUAACUAGAGUGGAUUCUGUUCUCUGUAGUUAACUCUUAUCAACAGACUGAUUGAUGCAGCAGAUUCUCAAGCAAAUAGAAUCUAAGAUUGACUAUCUGACCUAGUUGGAUUGAAAGGCAACAAGGACCCCAUUAGCAUUAGGAGAUAGUAUUCUGGUAGUCCAUAUGGCAGAAUGGCAAUACAGCUGUCGCCUGUGGUCACUUAUGAUGAAGGUAAAGCUUUAGAGGACAGAGUCACUGCUGAGAUAAACCACUGAGGUGAGAAUAAGGAGUUAAAACCUGUGGAGUGGGCUGGCUGCUUCCCACUACACAGAGUGUUUAAAGAAAGAAAUAACAACCUCAGGGGAUUUUCUUCUUUCUUUUAAAAAAAUAGCUUUAUAUAUAAUGUGAUAUGUCAAUUAUACCUCAAUCUUUAAAAAUAGCUUUUUUGUCAAUAUAGCUAUGUGUACUGACGUAAAAUAAACUGCAUAUAUUUAAAGUGUACAAUUUGAAGUUUUGACACACAUAUAUAUACACACACAUUCCUGUGACACCAUCACUACAAUCAAGAGCACAAACAUCCAUUACCCCCCAAAAUUUCUUUGGGUACCUUUGCAAAUCCCUCCUGCUCUUCUUUGCCCCUUUUCCUUUCCCAGGCAACCACUAAUCUACUUUCCAUCACUACGGAUUAGCCUUUUUUAGAAUUUUUUAUAAAUGGAAUCACACAGUAUGUUCUUACUUCUGCCUGGCUUCCUCCACUCAGAGUAAUUGUUAUAAUUAUUUUGGGGUUUAUUGUCAAUAGUUUAUCCCUUUUACUACUGAGUAGCAUUCCAUUGCAUGGCUAUACUCAUUUUUAUCUAUUCACUUAUUAAUGGAUUGAUUUGGGUUGUUUCUAGUUAUGAAUAAAGCCACUAUAAAUGUUAGUGUACAUGUCUUUAUGUGGAUCUAUGUUUAUAUGCUAUCAUUUUUCUUGGAUAAACACCUAGGAGUGAAAUUGAUGGAUUAUAUGGUAUGUGGAUGCUUAAUUGGUUAAGAAACUGCCAGGCUGUUUUUCAGUGGUUGCACCAUUUUAUAUUCCCACCAGCAGUGUACAGAGUUCCAGUUGCUUCAUAUCCUGUCCAACAUUUGGCAUGGUCACCUUUUAAUUUUAAUUAUUCUAAAAGAUUCAAAGUCAGUGACACAGAGAUGGAUAAGACCACCCCAAGGCCAAACAGCGUGGCCACUGAGAGCAGAAACACCACUCAGCACCUCUCAAGCUCCUCACAGGCCACUCUCAUCACCACCCAUGCCUGCAGGAGGAGGAUGGAGCUCUCCCGUCUCCCCAGCAGACAGGCUGCAGUCUGCCAGAAUCCUGAAAGAGGGAAUGUCUUUGAGAACAGAGACCUCAUCUGCAUGGCCCUGGAGGCUCUGCUUUGAACACAGCAGAGAUGAAAGGGCAGAUUUCCCAGACUACUAGAAAAGCUGGUACACACACAGCACAGACAUAAAAAUAUUUAUCACAGUCAUCUGUAAAUGUAGGCAAGAGCCCGAGACCCAGAGAUGUACUUCAUUUCAUGCUAUCCUCUUAAAUGAACACCUGGAUUUAUUAAGAAUGAAUUUAUUAAUUCGCUAUUUAUGAAGCAUGACUCCCAUUUUAUGUAAGGGUGAAUGAUUUGAAAAGGAAUUUCGCAUCAUUGUCCCAAUCCUCAUAACAAGUCAUCAAGCGGGGUAGGAAAGCAUUGUCAUCCUUGCUGGGGACUGCAUGGCAGAGACGUGAGGUGACUCAUCAGACAUCAUAUAGCCAGAAAGCCCAAGGGAUGGUAUAGAGACUCCAGGUAUCCAGACUCCAAGCUUAGCUCUGUCCUGCUCAGUGCUUUUUUAUGUUAAGUGGAGAGACUUUUCUCAUCAGGUGGGUUGCCUUAGUAAGGCCGCAGGACCAGGAAAGGCAAGAGAGGAGCUAACUGUUGCAGGAGGCGGUUCAGUCAGCCCUGCCUACCCACAGGGAGACAGCCGCUAGGGCCGCAUCCGCCCCCAGGCCCCAGCUCUCCUCCUCUUACCUCACAUUGCCCAGCUUAUAAAAUGAACACAUUCCGGAGUAAGUAUUGUGUUUUCUUUACAAAAGUUUUCACCAUAGAGCACUUUGAAUGGCAAGCUCCCCAAAAGUAUCAAAAAUAGGGUUCAAACUAUAAAAAUGAUGUAAACACAAGCUGGGGAGACAACCAGUAUAUUGUAUAAGAUCCAUACACAUUGUCAGUUACAUGUGCAGAUAGACAUGGGGUGAUCUGAGAUGAGGGGAUGGGGCAAAGUGACCUCUGAAGACAAUGGGGGUGUGGUCUUUCUCUCCACUCAAAAAAGAUGUUGUGAACUGUGUGUGUGUGUGUGUGUGUGUGUGUGUGUGUGUGUGUGUGCACGUGUGCAUGCCCACGUUUGUGGAAAUGGGUAUAUACACAGUGGGGAGAAAGCCUGGCUUCAACUACCAAAGCUGAAGUUCAGUGAUGCUGCCUUCUAAGAGGCUGCUUUUGACUUUCUAAUGAAAAAUUAAUAGGCACUUGCUUGCUGCUGCCUUUAAUUACGUUUGCUAGAGACAAGUGUCUGCUGGCCCGCAUGGCUCUGGCUUUUCUGUGUGGGAUCUGCUCUCAGCAAAGCCCACUAGUUUGGAAGGACAAAGGGUACCACUUCAGAUGAGGGGCUGAAGACACAGAAACAUCAGCGGGUAGAGAUUGUGUUGCAUUUUCUGGUAAUGGGUCCCCACCCACUAGUAUUUGCCUGGCAGAGAAGCUGAGCCUAACACCUCUUGUUAGAGCACAGGCCAGGAUUCCAAACUUGUAGGCUGAGGACCCCCGAAACCAAGGAGAUCUUGAAAAAGGGCUACUAAACCCUGUCUGUAGGCAUAAUAAACAUGCUCCCCCUACCAAUACAGAACCAUUUUUUCUAAUGUGUACAUGCUAUUGGGAUUAAUAAAGUAUCAUUUAAAUCAAUUACCAAAUUUACAAUAUUUUUUUACCAUUAUGUAUUUUCUUAACUAAAGGUUCUCAUAUACACCACUUUGGGGGGCCUCGAAAAUAUUUUGCCUUAAAAAUGGGCCUUCAUACAGGAAAAGGCUAGGAACUUAAAACAAGGAUAUUCCUUCUGUAACUAUGAAGCAGAGUUACAGAAGGAAUGAUCUUUUCGGGCCCCACCUCCCUGUUUUUUAACAACUUUAGUAGAUACAAUUUACAUUGCAUAAAGGGACAUUUACUUAAAGUGUGUAACUCACUGUUUUUUAGCAUAAUCUUAGGACACUUUCAUCAUCAUUGACAGUUGGCAUUUGUUAACAGUUAACAGUUAACAGUUACUUCCCACCCUCCAUCUAGGCAGUCUCUGAUCUAUUUUGUUUCUAUAGAUUUGCCUCUUUUGGAUAUUUCAUUUAAAUAAGAUCAUGCAAUAUGUGGUGUUUUGUGAUUAGAGGAAUGUUUUUAAUCCUCAAAACUCCAUCCAUCCAGUCUUUGUAUGUCCAACUCCUAUGCAUACUUUAAGGGCCCUUCUCUCCCUCCCAGAAGCCUAUCUUGCUCCCUCAAUCUACAGGAAUAUUUUUCUCCUAUUAGUUCACAGCCUCUCAUUUGGAAUAUUCAAGAAACACUUAGAAUGAGCUGUGUGGCCCGCCUCUGCUGACUUUGCUGUUCUCAUUUUUUGUGAUUUCCUCACCUCUGACUUUUAGGUGGCAUCUUGCUGGCAUACUUCUCCCCCCACUCAACUCUGCCCAGCACAGUUUUCUGCUUGAAAAGGAUAAUCAGUUUAUGUGUGUUGAAAGAAUAAAUGACUCAUGGGGAUGUUCCUAGACUUUUAGGAAAAACAGACUCAGGAGAAAGUGUGCAAGAAAGAGAAGAAAAUCAAGAACUGAAACAAAGAUAAAGCAUGGAAUGUGGGUUCUAUAGUCCAAAGGUUUGCAGCUGCCAUGGAUCAGAUACAGUCUUAAAAGGUCCUGGGCCACCAAGGGUCUCCCUUUCACCUCCAGUAGCAAUUGAAAGGAUGGGUUAAAUGUCAGUAUCCGGAGAGUGGCAGAUCAGCCAUUAUCAACCACUUCCACCUCAGCUACAAUCUGAGCUCUUGCAUAAUUCCUGUUCCCUGAGGUCUACAAGUUUGGAAGUGAGUGUAGGUCUGGAAAAAUCUAGGGCCUGGGUACCCCAUAGCCAAUUGCAAACUUCUUACCAUCCAUGAUUUCCAAGCCAAGGACACCAGAGGUCAAUAGUAAGAGAGCUGAUGUCCUUGGCUCCUCCUCAGAGUCCCUGUUGGGGACAGGCUAGAGGGAAGGAUGGCCCCCAGGGAUCUCAGUCACCCACCUGUGCCCAGUGGUUAAGACACUGAGCCUUAAGCCUAUGGAUGACCUACUCUCAAGACACCUAAUGUUUCAUCCUGUCAGCGACUGUGACUUGGGGAUAUCAGUAGGUUGGUUCUUCGUGAAAAGUUAAAUCAUUGAAGGAUGCGGCUUACUCUCAAAAAUGCCAUAGGAGAGGUUGACACACUUUUGGGAAUAGGAUGAUCUUUAAGAUUCUUUCACCCUUGAGAGAGUUCCUUAGUUAUGUGUGAAGAACUCAUUACAGGUCAGGGCUCCCCUGUACAGUAGGCAAAGUUCAUUUUUGAUCCCCAAAUCCCAAUCAGCUUUCAUUUCUGCCCUCUUCCUUUCUGCUCCUGGGCACCCCGACCCUUCUCUGGUUCCAUGCAUCGUGGGAAAUGCUCAGUGGUCCCAUCUCUUCUCUCCUUCCUCUCCUUAACUUAUCCCUACUUCUAAGUAGCAAGCAUCCAUUCUCUUAGUGCCCCCACCUUGGUUGGGCCUUAGUGGGGGAACCCUGCUGAGUAAACCCAUUCAGAAUGACUUGCUAUGGACUGAUGACUGACAGGCCUGGCAUAAAUCCUUCAAUCUCUAGGGGUAUCUGCAUUCAUUUUUAUUGAGAGAUAAUUUGCAUACCAUAGAAUUCACCUGGUUGGGUUAAAGUGUGUAAUGAAAUGGUUUUUAGCGUAUUUCUUGAGUUGUGCAAUUGUCACUGUAACCUAAUCUUAGAACAUUUUUAUGACUCCAAAAUGAAAUCUUGUACCCUUGUACUCCCCAUUCCUCCAUCACUGAG